CGCUCCUCUGACUCUUCCUGUAGUAAUUGCUCCGUGCUCUUCUUAGGUUCGCUCCCCCUCAAAAAAGGCAGAUUUUUCUCCCUGCAUUUGAGCCGGAUCCUCAAGCCCUUCAGAGAGCGCGUUGUACAGCCUGGGCACCUCUUCAGUUCCAGUGUCUUCUGGGCCGCAUGGGUCUCUGGGGCAGCCAGUGGGACAGGACACCUUUCUCCACCGCUGGUGCGUCUGUGUCUGUCUGUUCCUGACCCAGAGGGCUGUCCCUCCAAGUGAGGUGGCUAUCCAGGCACGUUUCCCAAGUCCCCACGACCCCGGAGCUGGUUUAGGACCAGGCACUGUAACGCUGGUCUCCAGCGUCCACUAUCUCACCCUAUCCAGGGGGCAUUUCUCUCAGCAGGUGGGUAUCAAGGCUUCUGGGUUAGUCUUCGGUGCUAAUAUUCAUCACUUUCAAAAGGCUGGUGAGUAGUUGUAGACUGUGUCACUAGUUUACUUUUUUCCCUCUUCUCCUGACCAUUAGCUCGGCACGAUAGGUAACUUUAUUCUGAUUAAGUGCCAGUCCCCAGUCCAGCAAAUCUUAAGUUAUCUAAGGGCUGGCAACCUUCUAUGAAGGUGCAGAUAGUAAAUAUUUCAGGCUUUGCAGGCCAGUCUCUGUUGCAACUCUGUCCUUGGUGGUACAGAAGCAGCUCCAGACAAUAUAUAAAUAAAUGGGUGUGGCUGCGUCCCAGUAGAACCUUACUGUCUACAAAAA